rnacentral:rRNA from 1 species
ACGGGUGAGUAACGCGUGAGUAACCUGCCUUUCAGAGGGGGAGUAACGUUCUGAAAAGAAACGCUAAUACCGCAUAACAUCAAUUUAUCGCAUGAUAGGUUGAUCAAAGGAGCAAUCCGCUGGAAGAUGGACUCGCGUCCGAUUAGCCAGUUGGCGGGGUAACGGCCCACCAAAGCGACGAUCGGUAGCCGGACUGGAGGAUGAACGGCCACAUUGGAACUGAGACACGGUCCAAACUCCUACGGGAGGCAGCAUG